rnacentral:rRNA from 1 species
AGCAGCCGCGGUAAUUCCAGCUCCAAUAGCGUAUAUUAAAGUUGUUGCAGUUAAAAAGCUCGUAGUUGAAUUUCGGGAUCAGUAUGUUGGUCGUGCUUCGGUACGUACUGUCAUUACUGGUUUCUACCUUCUGAAGAACCUUGAUGUCAUUAAUUUGGUGUCUUGGGGAAUCAGGACUGUUACUUUGAAAAAAUUAGAGUGUUUAAAGCAAGCAUACGCUUGAAUACAUUAGCAUGGAAUAAUGAAAUAGGACGUUUGAUUCUAUUUUGUUGGUUUCUAGGAUCGACGUAAUGAUUAAUAGGGAUAGUUGGGGGCAUUAGUAUUCAAUUGUCAGAGGUGAAAUUCUUGGAUUUAUUGAAGACUAACUACUGCGAAAGCAUUUGCCAAGGAUGUUUUCAUUAAUCAAGAACGAAAGUUAGGGGAUCGAAGACGAUCAGAUACCGUCGUAGUCUUAACCAUAAACUAUGCCGACUAGGGAUCGGAUGAUGUUAUUUUAAUGUACUCAUUCGGCGCCUUAAC